AUUCAUCUUUCAAGAAACAAAUAGUAGAUGCAUAAAGGAGAAGGUUCUAAAUCCUAAUGAAAUAGAAAUUGAAAAAACUUGGGAAGAAUUCUUCAUGAAUCCUAUAGUAAAGAAUAGGUCAAGUAAGAUCAAGGCUGGCUAAGGACCUGCGCAAACAUGCCCUUAGCACAAGGCCCCCAAAUUCGGAGGGCCCAUAUUUGCGGAGUCCAAGCCUUAAGUUAAAAAAAAAAAAAGAAGAAGAAAAAGUCAGCAAUACUCACGUGAAAGAAAAAGCUCCAUUUACUUCAUUUGUCUAGAUUCAUCAUCUCUUUCCUUCGUAAAUUGCACCAUCAAGAUAGCCCCAACUUCCCAAAAUUUCUGAAAUUUUCUUUAACUUCCUUUCUUUGAAUCCUUUCUAUUUUGUCAUUUAAUUUUAUUGUUUUACCCCCAAAUUUUUAAUUUUCCAAAUUUAAUGUUUUGCCUUCAAUCAAUUCAAACCCUUAAUUUUCGUUCAUCAAGAAUUUUCCAACGGGUAGUAUGAAGAAUUUUUUCUCAAAUCUUGAAUUGCACAAUUAAACCCCUUAAUCUUCGUUUAUCAAACGAUUAAAUUUUUUAUCCCUUAUAAAUUUCAUUUCAAUAAUCUAUCUUUUUCAAUUACCUGUGUUCAUACAUUCGUACUCAAAUUACAUUUAGCUAUUAAAAAAAAAUUCAAUUAAGAAUACCAUAGUAAAAAUAAUUCAUGGAGUACAAGAGGUUAACAAGAAGAUUAGAUCCAAGGGAAUUGGUUGCGGCAAAUCAAGAAAUCGGCAAUCCUGUUUUACUUGUGGCCUUGCGGCUAUGUGAGUUCGCCGAGCAGACUUGUAGCAUUUGAUGAAUCAUCAAAUAACAAUGGCAAGUGGAUUAUGACAGUUGCUUCUGCAGAAAGAAGUUUUUCAAAAUUGAAGUUGUUGAAAUCUUACUUGCGGUCUACCAUGUUACAAGAACGACUUAAUGGAUUGACGUUGAUAGCUAUUGAAAAUGAUCUUUUGGAGAAGGUGAAAUAUGAAGAUAUGGUUGAUGAAUUUGCUUCAAAAAAUGCUAGAAGAAUAGCUAUGUUUAAAUAUUUUGAUCUUUUAAUAAUUAAGAUUGUAUUUUGAUAUUAAUCAUGUUAUUUACAAUUUAAAUAAAGUACUUUGUGUUU